UACGUAGGGUGCGAGCGUUGUCCGGAAUUAUUGGGCGUAAAGAGCUCGUAGGCGGUCUGUCGCGUCUGCUGUGAAAACUCGGGGCUUAACCCCGGGCCUGCAGUGGGUACGGGCAGACUAGAGUGCGGUAGGGGAGACUGGAAUUCCUGGUGUAGCGGUGAAAUGCGCAGAUAUCAGGAGGAACACCGGUGGCGAAGGCGGGUCUCUGAGCAGUAACUGACGCUGAGGAGCGAAAGCGUGGGGAGCGAACGGG
rnacentral:rRNA from 1 species